rnacentral:rRNA from 1 species
GAUGAACGCUGGCGGCGUGCUUAACACAUGCAAGUCGAACGGUGAAGCAGAGCUUGCUCUGUGGAUCAGUGGCGAACGGGUGAGUAACACGUGAGCAACCUGCCCCUGACUCUGGGAUAAGCGCUGGAAACGGCGUCUAAUACUGGAUAUGAGCUGCGACCGCAUGGUCAGCAGUUGGAAAGAUUUUUCGGUCUGGGAUGGGCUCACGGCCUAUCAGCUUGUUGGUGAGGUAAUGGCUCACCAAGGCGUCGACGGGUAGCCGGCCUGAGAGGGUGACCGGCCACACUGGGACUGAGACACGGCCCAGACUCCUACGGGAGGCAGCAGUGGGGAAUAUUGCACAAUGGGCGAAAGCCUGAUGCAGCAAUGCCGCGUGAGGGAUGACGGCCUUCGGGUUGUAAACCUCUUUUAGCAGGGAAGAAGCGAAAGUGACGGUACCUGCAGAAAAAGCGCCGGCUAACUACGUG